GCGGGCUGGAACCUCUCGGGGUUACAGCCUUGCUGAAUUAUUCACCCUUGUCUUUUGCGUACUUCUUGUUUCCUUGGUGGGUUCGCCCACCACUAGGACAAACAUAAACCUUUUGUAAUUGCAAUCAGCGUCAGUAACAAAUUAAUAAUUACAACUUUCAACAACGGAUCUCUUGGUUCUGGCAUCGAUGAAGAACGCAGCGAAAUGCGAUAAGUAGUGUGAAUUGCAGAAUUCAGUGAAUCAUCGAAUCUUUGAACGCACAUUGCGCCCUUUGGUAUUCCAAAGGGCAUGCCUGUUCGAGCGUCAUUUGUACCCUCAAGCUUUGCUUGGUGUUGGGCGUCUUGUCUCUAGCUUUGCUGGAGACUCGCCUUAAAGUAAUUGGCAGCCGGCCUACUGGUUUCGGAGCGCAGCACAAGUCGCACUCUCUAUCAGCAAAGGUCUAGCAUCCAUUAAGCCUUUUUUUCAACUUUUGACCUCGGAUCAG
rnacentral:rRNA from 1 species